AUGCAGCACAUCCUCAUCGGCUGUCCCUUCUCCAGGCAAGUCUGGCAUGAUAUUCUUGCCUGGAUUCGCGUCACCGUCAGUACACCAUUAGGCAACGAGGGAUUCCUCCCAUGGUGCACGUCGGUCAUCUGCAACUCCCCCGCCUGCCCCCGCAAAGGACUCGCCACGCGGGCCAUCGUAACGACAUGGUCUAUCUGACGCCACCACAACGGUUGCAUCUUCGAUGGUGAGACCCCCUCCGUGCCAAGAUUGAUUGCAUCUAUCCAAGAUGAGGCACGGUCAUGGGCUAGAGCGGGCGCCCACGGACUUAGAUCGUUACUCGAGUAA
rnacentral:rRNA from 1 species